CUAAACUCCAGGAUCUCCAGAGCCAGAGAUGAGAAACCAUGCAUCACUGAGAUUAAAACCUCAAGAACAGGGUUCCUCAAAUUUGGCCCUACUCUACAAAGUUUUGCCCAAACUCUAAUUAAAGACACCCGAGCAAGCUAAUCAAGGUCUUCGGAGUUACUUGAAAAGUACAGGUGACAGCGAGAUGUUUCAAGGUCCGAUGUUUCCAGGGGAGGGACUUCUGCUUUUCGGUGUGACUGGCACUUCAGAUUGUUUUCAGUAGACCAACCAUGCAGAAUGUGGCUGUCUAUAUUGGUUGUCCUCCUGAUAUCCAAUUGGUGUAUGAUGUCAGUACCACUCUGCAGGAGUCUGUACCUCUGAACAAAAGGAUCUUCAGCUGUUUAAAUCCUGACCCAGUUACAGUCUGCUUCCGCUGUGAAAACUGUAAGAACCUGCUGCCAGUGAUUCAAGACCAAUUCAAUCUGGCUCUGUACAAGACAUUUUGACCUCAAAGUACACUGGUAUGAUUUGUCAAUAUAACAUAUGCAAAUAGCUGCUGACGCCCCGUGUUCAAUCGUGCACACGCAGUGCACAAGUCAAGCAAGAGGAGUCACAGGGAAUUAAAUGAGAACCACACCUCUGGAGUUAUCAAAAUCCAAAAGAACUAGCUUCAGUGUUUGGAAGCAUAAGAAUGGUUUUAAAAAAAUAUUGUUGUCAUAAUAUGAAAAUGUUUAAGUUAUUUUUCCUGUUAGCAAACAUUUGAAAAUUAAGAAACAAAGACAGAAUAUGCCAUGUGCCGUGUCGUUUUACUGUUCUGCAGAAAAAUAAAAUAAAAAUUCAAACUGCAAUUACAUCAUAAACAGAAGUUCAGCUAAAAAAUGAACGGUACUCAGCAAUGCCUUGAUCAGA
ensembl:lncRNA